rnacentral:rRNA from 1 species
GACGAACGCUGGCGGCGUGCUUAACACAUGCAAGUCGAACGGAAAGGCCUGCUUUCCCUUGUGGAUUCCGGGUACUCGGGUGGCUAACUGGUGAGUAACACGUGAGUGAUCUGCCCCCAACUUGGGUAUAAGCCUGGGAAACUGGGUCUAAUACUCGAUAGGACUGCAGGGUGGUGCCAGUGGUGGAAAACGAUUUUCUAGUGGUUGGGGAUGAGCUCGAGGCCUAUCAGCUUGUUGGUAGGGUAAUGGCCUACCAAGGCGGCGACGGGUAGCCGGCCUGAGAGCGUGGACGGUGAGAUUGGGACUGAGCCACGGCCCCGACUGGUGCGGGAGGUAGCAGUGGUGAAGAAUGGCCCGAGGGCGGGAGGCAGAAACGCCGAGGGAGGGAGGGGGGUGCCCGGAUGGGAGUUCUAAGCUACUUUGGACGGCGAGAAGUGCACCUGGUUGGGAGGGUGGUGACGGUAGUGGACCAGAAAGCCCCGGCUAACUACGUG